UACGUAGGGGGCUAGCGUUAUCCGGAAUUACUGGGCGUAAAGGGUGCGUAGGUGGUUUCUUAAGUCAGGGGUGAAAGGCUACGGCUCAACCGUAGUAAGCCUUUGAAACUGGGGAACUUGAGUGCAGGAGAGGAGAGUGGAAUUCCUAGUGUAGCGGUGAAAUGCGUAGAUAUUAGAAGGAACACCAGUUGCGAAGGCGGCUCUCUGGACUGUAACUGACACUGAGGCACGAAAGCGUGGGGAGCAAACAGG
rnacentral:rRNA from 1 species